CAGCCGCCGCGGUAAUACCGAGGGUGCAAGCGUUAAUCGGAAUUACUGGGCGUAAAGCGCGCGUAGGUGGUUUGUUAAGUUGGAUGUGAAAUCCCCGGGCUCAACCUGGGAACUGCAUCCAAAACUGGCAAGCUAGAGUAUGGUAGAGGGUGGUGGAAUUUCCUGUGUAGCGGUGAAAUGCGUAGAUAUAGGAAGGAACACCAGUGGCGAAGGCGACCACCUGGACUGAUACUGACACUGAGGUGCGAAAGCGUGGUGAGCAAACAGGAUUAGAUACCCCGGUAGUCCCUGUCUCUUAUAC
rnacentral:rRNA from 1 species